AUGUUAUGCCAAUAAUUAUCAUUCGGAAUUUCGUAUGAUUUGAAGCAGUCAGUACAUUAUAAUUCUCUUUGAGUCAGUACUUCUGUCAAGACGAUAAAAGUAAAAUUUCUUUGUCAUUGCAAUUUACAAAUUAAAUGAUAUAUUUACCAUAAAUACUUAUCUAAAUAUUUCAAAUAAAUCCUCAUAUUCCAAGAAAACUACGUGAAUAUAACGUGUAGUGUAACUGCGAGUGACAGUUUAUUAUUUUAAAGGUGCUCUAAAUAUAUUAUUUACAUUUCAAAUUAUUUAUCAAUGAGUUAGAUAACGAUGGUAACUUGUGAUAGUGCCGGGCGAUUAGUAAACAGGAAUGGGACUUUGUCUGCACUAAGUGAGAUUAUAUCGCAUUAGGAAGUGAAGACAACACCAGCACGAUGCACAUGUGGAUGUGGUUCGGGUACGAUCUGGGCGAGUUCCUGUUCGCGGGGCUCGAGGUGACCACGCGCUGGGCGUUCGCGCUCACGUGGAUAGCGCUUUUCUUCGUCGCGCUGCUCUUCGAGGGCUCCAAGGUGUACUUGGCACAAGUGCAGCGCGAGGCUCUUAAGAAGCUAUAUCCACAUCGAUCCGACGAACGACGCACUCUACUAUGUGACAGGGAACAAGGCAACAUGGAGCCGACGACGAGCCGCAACGCGAGCACGGGUCAGGUCAGCAGGUGGGCGUCUUUCAAGAUACGUACACUGGUAAGCGCAUCAGUCGGCUGCGUGUUCGUGGUGCACAACGUGAUUUUAGCUACCUGUUGAUGCUGGCGGUGAUGGUGUACAACGUGCAUCUGCUACUCGCAGUAGUGUUCGGCAUGAUGCUCGGUGAGUGAUAACUAGAGAAAAGGGUCGACUGUAGAAUACCGCUGUUUGUGAACACCCUUUAUGCAAUAUAAUGUUACGAGAUGCAAAAUAAUAUUACAAAGAUUGGACGCCACUGUAAUCUAUAUUAAAUAUUUACAUUAGCAGUGUAGAAAAUUUAGCACUCAAGUUGAAAAAAAUCCGCGCAAGCAAUUUCCUAUAAGCUAAUCGAGCACUCUGAUAGGGUAAUAAUGUACACCACGGAUAAAAUUAAAAGAAAGGGU